rnacentral:rRNA from 1 species
UACGUAGGGCGCAAGCGUUGUCCGGAUUUACUGGGCGUAAAGAGCGCGUAGGCGGUCUGUUAAGUGUGAAGUGAAAUCUCCAGGGCUCAACCCGGAAACUGCUUCGCAUACUGGCAGACUUGAGGAAUGCAGAGGUUUGUGGAAUUCCUGGUGUAACGGUGAAAUGCGCAGAUAUCAGGAGGAACACCGGUGGCGAAGGCGGUUCUCUGGGCCUGUACUGACGCUGAGGAACGAAAGCGUGGGGAGCGAACAGG